rfam:Ixodes scapularis strain Wikel colony gcontig_1108379190644, whole genome shotgun sequence.
GCAGUCGUGGCCGAGUGGUUAAGGUGAUGGACUAGAAAUCCAUUGAAGUUCGAAUCCUGUCGACUGCG